rnacentral:rRNA from 1 species
AUGAACGCUGGCGGCGUGCUUCACACAUGCCAGUCGAACGGAAAGGCCCAAGCUUGCUUGGGUACUCGAGUGGCGAACGGGUGAGUAACACGUGGGUGAUCUGCCCUGCACUUCGGGAUAAGCCUGGGAAACUGGGUCUAAUACCGGAUAGGACCACAUUUUGGAUGGUGUGGUGGAAAGUUUUUCGGUGUGGGAUGAGCUCGCGGCCUAUCAGCUUGUUGGUGGGGUAAUGGCCUACCAAGGCGUCGACGGGUAGCCGGCCUGAGAGGGUGUACGGCCACAUUGGGACUGAGAUACGGCCCAGACUCCUACGGGAGGCAGCAGUGGGGAAUAUUGCACAAUGGGCGCAAGCCUGAUGCAGCGACGCCGCGUGGGGGAUGACGGCCUUCGGGUUGUAAACUCCUUUCGCUAGGGACGAAGCGCAAGUGACGGUACCUGGAGAAGAAGCACCGGCUAACUACGUG